rnacentral:rRNA from 1 species
CCUGCCCAUUGAUAUUUUUAAAAGGCUGCGGUAUAUUGACCGUACAAAGGUAGCAUAAUCAUUAGUUUUUUAAUUGAGAACUUGUAUGAAUGGUUGAAUGAGAAAUGAACUUUUUUAAUAAAAAAAUUGAAUUUUACAUUUUAAUUAAAAGGUUGAAAUAUAUUUAAAAGACGAGAAGACCCUAUAGAGUUUUAUAAUUUAUAUUUAAUAUUAAAAAAAUUUAAUAGAUAUUUUUAUUUAAAUAAUUAUUUUGUUGGGGUGAUGAUAAAAUUUAACUAACUUUUAUUUUUUUUUACAUUAAUAUAUGGGAAAUUGAUCCACUAUUAGUGAUUAAAAGAUUAAAUUACCUUAGGGAUAACAGCGUAAUUUUUUUUUUAAGUUCAUAUUAAUAAAAAAUUUUGCGACCUCGAUGUUGGAUUAAGAUUUAAUUUUAGGUGCAGAAGUUUAAAAUUUAAGUCUGUUC